UUUCAUAUGAUAUAAUUAUCCACGGAAGAGUUGAGCUGGUGACUUCUAGACUAUAAGGACGUGAUGCUUAUGGUGUAAAAGCUGUAAAAUCAGACUCUAAUGGAAAGGAAGUCAACACGUGUCUGUUUCAGAUGCGUUACAAUUAAUGCUAGCAUUUGGCACUUUUGUGAUCGUGCUAGUAGCAUUAG
rnacentral:sRNA from 1 species